rnacentral:misc_RNA from 1 species
UUUCCGUAGGUGAACCUGCGGAAGGAUCAUUGCCACACACGAUCCAAGAUCGACACUAAUUGUGAACUGUAACCGUGAUUUUAUUGGCCGCUUGAAUGAAGGGGGAUGCUUGGGUUGAAAUGCAUUUAUGUGUUUUGACUUCUUUCUCUCUUCUGGUCAGUAACUUUAUUUAACACCAAAAACAUAACAUGAACUAUGCAAAGGAACAUAAAAAGCUAUUAUCAAGUUCGUCUUGGUUUAGCGCUAGAUUGAAAAUUGUAAACAACUUUUAACAACGGAUAUCUAGGUUCUU